GAUGAACGCUGGCGGCGUGCCUAAUACAUGUAAGUCGAACGCGCAGCGAAAGGUGCUUGCACCUUUCAAGCGAGUGGCGAACGGGUGAGUAACACGUGGAUAACCUGCCCCAAGGCUGGGGAUAACAUUGGGAAACAGAUGCUAAUACCGAAUAAAAAUUAUCAUCGCAUGAUACAAAGUUAAAAGGCGUUACGACGUCACCCCGAGCUGGAUCAGCGGUGCAUUAGUUAGUUGGUGGGGUAAAGGCUUACCAAGACGAUGCUGCAUAGCCGGGAUGAGAGACUGAUCGGCCACAUUGGGAAUGAGACACGGCCCAAACUCCCACGGGAGGCUGCAGUAGGGAAUCUUCCACAAUGGGCGCAAGCCUGAUGGAGCAACGCCGCGUGUGUGAUGAAGGCUUUCGGGUCGUAAAGCACUGUUGUAUGGGAAGAAAUGCUAAAAUAGGGAAUGAUUUUAGCUUGACGGUACCAUACCAGAAAGGGACGGCUAAAUACGUGCCAGCCGCCGCCGUAA
rnacentral:rRNA from 1 species